GCAGUAGCCGCGGUAAAACGGAGGGGGCUAGCGUUGUUCGGAAUUACUGGGCGUAAAGCGCACGUAGGCGGCUUGGUAAGUUAGAGGUGAAAGCCCGGAGCUCAACUCCGGAAUUGCCUUUAAGACUGCCGAGCUAGUAGGUGAGAGAGGUAAGUGGAAUUCCGAGUGUAGAGGUGAAAUUCGUAGAUAUUCGGAAGAACACCAGUGGCGAAGGCGGCUUACUGGCUCAUUCUAGACGCUGAGGUGCGAAAGCGUGGGGAGCAAACAGGAUUAGAUACCCCUGUAGUCCCUGUCUCUUAUAC
rnacentral:rRNA from 1 species